UUAAGCGACUAAGCGUACACGGUGGAUGCCCUGGCAGUCAGAGGCGAUGAAGGACGUGCUAAUCUGCGAUAAGCGUCGGUAAGGUGAUAUGAACCGUUAUAACCGGCGAUUUCCGAAUGGGGAAACCCAGUGUGUUUCGACACACUAUCAUUAACUGAAUCCAUAGGUUAAUGAGGCGAACCGGGGGAACUGAAACAUCUAAGUACCCCGAGGAAAAGAAAUCAACCGAGAUUCCCCCAGUAGCGGCGAGCGAACGGGGAGCAGCCCAGAGCCUGAAUCAGUAUGUGUGUUAGUGGAAGCGUCUGGAAAGGCGCGCGAUACAGGGUGACAGCCCCGUACACAAAAAUGCACAUGCUGUGAGCUCGAUGAGUAGGGCGGGACACGUGGUAUCCUGUCUGAAUAUGGGGGGACCAUCCUCCAAGGCUAAAUACUCCUGAUUGACCGAUAGUGAACCAGUACCGUGAGGGAAAGGCGAAAAGAACCCCGGCGAGGGGAGUGAAAAAGAACCUGAAACCGUGUACGUACAAGCAGUGGGAGCACGCUUAGGCGUGUGACUGCGUACCUUUUGUAUAAUGGGUCAGCGACUUAUAUUCUGUAGCAAGGUUAACCGAAUAGGGGAGCCGAAGGGAAACCGAGUCUUAACUGGGCGUUAAGUUGCAGGGUAUAGACCCGAAACCCGGUGAUCUAGCCAUGGGCAGGUUGAAGGUUGGGUAACACUAACUGGAGGACCGAACCGACUAAUGUUGAAAAAUUAGCGGAUGACUUGUGGCUGGGGGUGAAAGGCCAAUCAAACCGGGAGAUAGCUGGUUCUCCCCGAAAGCUAUUUAGGUAGCGCCUCGUGAAUUCAUCUCCGGGGGUAGAGCACUGUUUCGGCAAGGGGGUCAUCCCGACUUACCAACCCGAUGCAAACUGCGAAUACCGGAGAAUGUUAUCACGGGAGACACACGGCGGGUGCUAACGUCCGUCGUGAAGAGGGAAACAACCCAGACCGCCAGCUAAGGUCCCAAAGUCAUGGUUAAGUGGGAAACGAUGUGGGAAGGCCCAGACAGCCAGGAUGUUGGCUUAGAAGCAGCCAUCAUUUAAAGAAAGCGUAAUAGCUCACUGGUCGAGUCGGCCUGCGCGGAAGAUGUAACGGGGCUAAACCAUGCACCGAAGCUGCGGCAGCGACACUAUGUGUUGUUGGGUAGGGGAGCGUUCUGUAAGCCUGUGAAGGUGUACUGUGAGGUAUGCUGGAGGUAUCAGAAGUGCGAAUGCUGACAUAAGUAACGAUAAAGCGGGUGAAAAGCCCGCUCGCCGGAAGACCAAGGGUUCCUGUCCAACGUUAAUCGGGGCAGGGUGAGUCGACCCCUAAGGCGAGGCCGAAAGGCGUAGUCGAUGGGAAACAGGUUAAUAUUCCUGUACUUGGUGUUACUGCGAAGGGGGGACGGAGAAGGCUAUGUUGGCCGGGCGACGGUUGUCCCGGUUUAAGCGUGUAGGCUGGUUUUCCAGGCAAAUCCGGAAAAUCAAGGCUGAGGCGUGAUGACGAGGCACUACGGUGCUGAAGCAACAAAUGCCCUGCUUCCAGGAAAAGCCUCUAAGCAUCAGGUAACAUCAAAUCGUACCCCAAACCGACACAGGUGGUCAGGUAGAGAAUACCAAGGCGCUUGAGAGAACUCGGGUGAAGGAACUAGGCAAAAUGGUGCCGUAACUUCGGGAGAAGGCACGCUGAUAUGUAGGUGAAGCGACUUGCUCGUGGAGCUGAAAUCAGUCGAAGAUACCAGCUGGCUGCAACUGUUUAUUAAAAACACAGCACUGUGCAAACACGAAAGUGGACGUAUACGGUGUGACGCCUGCCCGGUGCCGGAAGGUUAAUUGAUGGGGUCAGCGCAAGCGAAGCUCUUGAUCGAAGCCCCGGUAAACGGCGGCCGUAACUAUAACGGUCCUAAGGUAGCGAAAUUCCUUGUCGGGUAAGUUCCGACCUGCACGAAUGGCGUAAUGAUGGCCAGGCUGUCUCCACCCGAGACUCAGUGAAAUUGAACUCGCUGUGAAGAUGCAGUGUACCCGCGGCAAGACGGAAAGACCCCGUGAACCUUUACUAUAGCUUGACACUGAACAUUGAGCCUUGAUGUGUAGGAUAGGUGGGAGGCUUUGAAGUGUGGACGCCAGUCUGCAUGGAGCCGACCUUGAAAUACCACCCUUUAAUGUUUGAUGUUCUAACGUGGACCCGUGAUCCGGGUUGCGGACAGUGUCUGGUGGGUAGUUUGACUGGGGCGGUCUCCUCCUAAAGAGUAACGGAGGAGCACGAAGGUUGGCUAAUCCUGGUCGGACAUCAGGAGGUUAGUGCAAUGGCAUAAGCCAGCUUGACUGCGAGCGUGACGGCGCGAGCAGGUGCGAAAGCAGGUCAUAGUGAUCCGGUGGUUCUGAAUGGAAGGGCCAUCGCUCAACGGAUAAAAGGUACUCCGGGGAUAACAGGCUGAUACCGCCCAAGAGUUCAUAUCGACGGCGGUGUUUGGCACCUCGAUGUCGGCUCAUCACAUCCUGGGGCUGAAGUAGGUCCCAAGGGUAUGGCUGUUCGCCAUUUAAAGUGGUACGCGAGCUGGGUUUAGAACGUCGUGAGACAGUUCGGUCCCUAUCUGCCGUGGGCGCUGGAGAACUGAGGGGGGCUGCUCCUAGUACGAGAGGACCGGAGUGGACGCAUCACUGGUGUUCGGGUUGUCAUGCCAAUGGCACUGCCCGGUAGCUAAAUGCGGAAGAGAUAAGUGCUGAAAGCAUCUAAGCACGAAACUUGCCCCGAGAUGAGUUCUCCCUGACUCCUUGAGAGUCCUGAAGGAACGUUGAAGACGACGACGUUGAUAGGCCGGGUGUGUAAGCGCAGCGAUGCGUUGAGCUAACCGGUACUAAUGAACCGUGAGGCUUAACCUU
rnacentral:rRNA from 1 species